rnacentral:tRNA from 1 species
CCCCCCAUAGCUCAAUGGCUAGAGCGCACGGCUGUAGACCGUGAGGUUCCCGGUUCGAGUCUGGGUGGGGGGA